CAGUCGCCGCGGUAAUACGUAGGGUGCAAGCGUUAAUCGGAAUUACUGGGCGUAAAGCGUGCGCAGGCGGUUAUAUAAGUCAGAUGUGAAAUCCCCGGGCUCAACCUGGGAACUGCAUUUGAGACUGUAUGGCUAGAGCGUGUCAGAGGGGGGUAGAAUUCCACGUGUAGCAGUGAAAUGCGUAGAUAUGUGGAGGAAUACCGAUGGCGAAGGCAGCCCCCUGGGAUAACACUGACGCUCAUGCACGAAAGCGUGGGGAGCAAACAGGAUUAGAUACCCCAGUAGUCCCUGUCUCUUAUAC
rnacentral:rRNA from 1 species